CUAUGCACGUGUUUAUAUGUCGCCAAGCAACGACGCGUUCGGCUCAUUGGCCCGUCGCGAAUGGGCGCGAGCCGUGUAUUACUGCGCGCGGAAUAGAAAGAGAAGGCGAGACAAGACGCCAGAUUCGUGUAAGCCGUGGCCGAGCUCACAAGGAAAGCGAGCGAGUUUUUCUGUGCGACCUUUGUACCGGUGAAGAGUGAUUAAAAUACAUACGUACAAAUUGAGGUGAUUACGCAUUUACCUCCCUCACAUCGCUCCCGAUCGCAAUCUUUCCGGUAGCACGUGUGGUAGGCGGACGAAGCACGCUCACGCGUUAUCGAACGCCACAUCUUUGGUCCUUCGAGCCGGAUACAGCAGUGAUCCGACUCUUCACCGGCAUCACAACAGCACGGCUACACACCACGCGAACGAGGUAUCCCGCCAUCAAUACGCGGAGCUCGUUCGCUGCAGCAGACAUCUCUCAGUGCAGAACGAUUUCAAGGCGGUACACCGUGUAACGUUCAGUGCGCGGACUCAGGCGAGGGGACGAUCGACGACAGCUCGAUCGCGCGCCAAAACAGAGAAGAAGUCUCACCUCGAGGAAGGUAUCCUGUGACCAUCGCAGAGCUUCCAGCAUAUCAGGAGCGUUCAGACGACAGCGGGACGGCAUCCUACAAUUCACAUAAGCAGACGUCGGCAGGCGAUAAGACGAUCGGCACAGCACGAUCGCGCGCCGAGGCAAGAAAGGUAUUCCGCCAUUACUGCGCGGAGCUUCCGUUGUCAAGGGGAUUGCGCCAUCUUGGGCGAAAUUUCUAUUGUCGAGGACGGUAUCCUGUGACCAUCGCAGAACGUCCGACCUACGAGAAGGCGUCCCGGAAUCCAGAGGACAUCUAACCUUAAGCUACAUACACGGUCGCCGACAGGCGAACGAACGAACGGCAUCACCAGGAGGCCUCGCCAGCAUCACAGUGUUGCGAUCGCAGUUCCCGAGGUGCGCACAUGUGCAGAUAAUUCCCCGAGGCCACGACCAACGGAGGAUCAUUCGGACAGCAGCGACACUGCGAGCUUUUCUACAAGCACCGCCGCGUACAGUCCCGGGCGAGUACAACAGGUCUAUCCAGAUGACGAAGGUGUUAUUAGAAGCGCCGAAGUUAAAACGGCCAAGGGUAUACUUACGAGACCGCUAGUCAAAUUAGCAAUACUACCCAUCGAGUCAACAGACAGUAACGACCUUUUGUAGCACCUAUGCGUAACGUAUUAUAUAAACAACUCAAGUAUUUCAUUAUCAUAUUCGUUUGUUUUUAGUUUUAAGUAACAUUUUCAUAAUUAGAGACCUAUCUGCGUUUGCGUACAAGAAAUUCCUGAUUGCGGGUCUCGCAUUAAUUCUUCCGUUUAUUGAAAGCCGAGCCUUUCAAGGGGGGCGGCGUUGUAGCGUAAACAGUUCGACACAAUGUUGUCUCGUUAAAAUUCGUAACAUUGGUCUUGCAUAGGCGAAUCCGUUUCCUAUGCACGUGUUUAUAUGUCGCCAAGCAACGACGCGUUCGGCUCAUUGGCCCGUCGCGAAUGGGCGCGAGCCGUGUAUUAUUGCGCGCGGAAUAGAAAGAGAAGGCGAGACAAGACGCCAGAUUCGUGUAAGCCGUGGCCGAGCUCACAAGGAAAGCGAGCGAGUUUUUCUGUGCGACCUUUGUACCGGUGAAGAGUGAUUAAAAUACAUACGUACAAA
rnacentral:lncRNA from 13 species